rnacentral:rRNA from 1 species
AACAGGAUUAGAUACCCGGGUAGUCCACGCCCUAAACGAUGUCAACUAGGUGUUGGGGACCUUGAGUUCUCGGUACCGGAGCUAACGCAUUAAGUUGACCGCCUGGGGAGUACGGCCGCAAGGUUGAAACUCAAAGAAAUUGACGGGGACCCGCACAAGCGGUGGAGCAUGUGGUUUAAUUCGAUGCAACGCGAAGAACCUUACCAGGCCUUGACAUCCAGAGGACAAAGCAGAGAUGCAUUGGUGCCUUCGGGAACUCUGAGACAGGUGUUGCAUGGCUGUCGUCAGCUCGUGUCGUGAGAUGNUGGGUUAAGUC